rnacentral:rRNA from 1 species
GCCUAUGCCUAAACGUAAAUAUCCACCAGGCCAGAAAAAUACUUGCAAAAGCAAGAAACUCAACGGACCCGACGGUGUUCCACACUACCUAGAGGAGCCUGUCCUAUAAUCGAUAACCCGCGAUAAACCUCACCCCCCCUGGCCUUCCCAGCCUAUAUACCGCCGUUGUCAGUCUGCCUUUAAGAGUAGCGGACUAAACCGAUUCUAACUCAAAAACGACAGGUCAAGGUGUAGCUAAUGGAAGGGGAAGAGAUGGGCUACAUUACCACCACACUGGUCAUAAACGGAACAUGAUCUGAAACAAAUCAUAACAAGGAGAAUUUAGCAGUAAAGGAAGUAAGAACGCUCCCUUGAACAUAGCCCUGGAACGCU